UCGGCUUCACAGGCAGGGUCACUACCUCCUAGGCCAGACGACCGGUCGUCGCCCAAUAUUUUGGGACAAUAGUCUAGUCUACAAAAGGUUCAAGGUGGUGAAAAAAAUAGUGUAAGCUGUUCGCAUAAAAAAACCGCAAAUCGAUGUACAGGUUAGCCGUUUGGUACACGUAUAUACUAGUCAAAACAAAAAUUUUGACCCGCAGUUCCUAAAAAAAAUUCCCUUAGGAGGGGAGUGCUGAAACCUUUUUUUGUAUAAAAAAAAACUUUUUUUUUAAACCUAUCGUAUACUUCUCAUCUAUCAUACGAAAGGGCUUUUUGAAGCGAUUCUGAAAAUAUACCACAUCAUUGCAUUUUAGCCAUUUUUAGGGUUCCGUAGCCAAAUGGCAAAAAACGGAACCCUUAUGGAUUCGUCAUGUCUGUCUGUCUGUCGUCCGUCCGUAUUUUUUCCGAAACUAUAAGAGCUAUACUGUUGAAACUUGGUAAGUAGAUGUAUUCUAUGAACCGCAUUAAGAUUUUCACACAAAA